UUUUUUUUUUUUUUUGCACUUUUAGUAGAGACGGGGUUUCACCGUGUUGGCCAGGCUGGUCUCGAACUCCUGACCUCAUGAUCUGCCUGCCUCGGCCUCCCAAAGUGCUGGGAUUACAGGCGUGAGCCACCGCGCCUGGCCUUGACUAUUUUUAAUAAUACUUGGCGCAAAACACAAACACAUUGUUCAGCUGUUCAGAAACAUUUUCCUUCUUUAUAUGCUUAUACUAUAAACUUUUUUCUAUUUUUAAAUUUUUUUUGUUUGUUUUACUUUUUAAACUUUUUUGUUAAAAACUAAGACACAAACACAUUAGCCUAGGACUACAUAGUGUCUGGAUCAUCCCUAUCACUAUUUUUCACCUUUCAUCUUGUCCCACUUGAAGGUGUUCAAGGAUAAUAGCAUGAACAGAGCUGUCAUCUCAUGACAACAAUGCCUUCUGGAAUACCUCCUGAAGGACCUGCCUGAGGGUAUUUUACAAUUAGCUUUUUUUUUAUAGUAGAAGGAGUACACUGUAAAAUAACAAUAAAAAGUACAGUAUAGUAAAUACACAAACCAGUAACAUAGUUAUUAUCAAGUAUUAUGUACUGCACAUAAUUGUAUGUGCUCUACUUUUAUGUGACUAGCAGCACAGUAGAUUUGUUUACACCAGUGUCACCACAAACAUGGGCAUAAUGCAUUACGCUAUGAUGUUAGAAUGACCCUGACGUCACUAAGCAAUAGGAAUUUUUCAGUUCCGUUGUCAUCUUACGGGACCACCACCAUAUAUGCAAUCUAUAGUAUACAAAGUUUGUCAUUCAGUGCAUUACUGUAUGUUAUUUCUACCCUCUUUCAGAGGCCACCACUUCAUCACCUAGCCUCAUCUAACUACAGGGGAAGCAAUGAAGUAACUUUAACUGUGUGGCCAGAAAGGAAAAGAAAACCAAAUUCUGAUGGACACCUGAUGUUUUUACUAUUCCUAUGAAUGGAUUCCAAGGUUCUAACUGAGAGGGUAGGGAAAGCAGGAAUCAGAGUGGGAAAAUACAUUUAGCAACAUUCUUGAGAUUUUCUUCUUCAACUUGUCAGUGUUCUCAGUUGUGCCCACCCUCAAGCUCCAAAGAUUCUCCCACAAGGUAUUUGGCCAAGGCACUUCAUUUUUCUAGGCCUCAGUUUCCCCAUGUGUUAAAGUGAGGGGUUGAAUUAGGAUAACUUUCAAGUCUUUGGGCCUCUUAGAGAUCCAAAAUCCCAUGAUUCUCUAACUCCUGAUGUUCCCUUCUUCCUGAGACAAAUAAGCAGGACCAGCAUGCCAAUAAUUUAUGUUUUAUUUUAAUUUUCCUUCUCACCUUCAAAGCUUGAGUUUCUAGAUAUUAAAAUAUAACAAUAGACAAAGUUGUUAUGAAUACAGUAGUGACUUUUUAUGGCAGAGUAAAGUUAUUUUGUGUUUGAAUGAACAGCACAUUCACACACGUAUGUAACAUACACAGAGCUGCAUCUGUGAAAAAAUAAUCUUGUUUAAAGUCUUGCAAAACAUAUGUCCUCCUCCUACUCUUGCCCUGUGUUAGUUUUGCAAUUCAUAACAAACAACAGUGAC
rnacentral:lncRNA from 1 species